rnacentral:rRNA from 1 species
AGUGAACGCUGGCGGUAGGCCUAACACAUGCAAGUCGAACGGCAGCACAGUAAGAGCUUGCUCUUACGGGUGGCGAGUGGCGGACGGGUGAGGAAUACAUCGGAAUCUACUUUUUCGUGGGGGAUAACGUAGGGAAACUUACGCUAAUACCGCAUACGACCUACGGGUGAAAGCAGGGGAUCUUCGGACCUUGCGCGAUUGAAUGAGCCGAUGUCGGAUUAGCUAGUUGGCGGGGUAAAGGCCCACCAAGGCGACGAUCCGUAGCUGGUCUGAGAGGAUGACCAGCCACACUGGAACUGAGACACGGCCAAGACUCCGACGGGAGGCGGCAGUGGGGAAUAUUGGACAAUGGGCGCAACCCUGACCCACCCAUACCGCGUGGGUGAAGAAGGCCUUGGGUUUGAAAACCCUUUUUGUUGGGAAAAAAAAGCAGCAGUUAAACCCCCCGUUGUUCUGACGGUCCCCAAAAAAAAACCCCCGCCUACUUUCGUC